rnacentral:rRNA from 1 species
GAUGAACGCUGGCGGCAUGCCUAAUACAUGCAAGUCGAACGGAGAAGGAAGGUGCUUGCAUCUUCCGGACCAGUGGCGAACGGGUGAGUAACACGUGAGUAACCUGCCUCUCAGAGUGGAAUAACGUUUGGAAACGAACGCUAAUACCGCAUAACGUGAGAAGAGGGCAUCCUCUUUUUACCAAAGAUUUAUCGCUGAGAGAUGGGCUCGCGGCCGAUUAGGUAGUUGGUGAGAUAACAGCCCACCAAGCCGACGAUCGGUAGCCGGACUGAGAGGUUGAUCGGCCACAUUGGGACUGAGACACGGCCCAG